UACAGAGGUCUCAAGCGUUUGUUCGGAUUCAUUGGGCGUAAAGGGUGCGUAGGUGGCGCCGUAAGUCAGGUGUGAAAUUUCGGAGCUUAACUCCGAAACUGCAUUUGAUACUGCGGUGCUUGAGGACUGGAGAGGAGACUGGAAUUCACGGUGUAGCAGUGAAAUGCGUAGAGAUCGUGAGGAAGACCAGUGGCGAAGGCGGGUCUCUGGACAGUUCCUGACACUGGAGGCAACGAAGGCCAGGGGAGCAAACGGG
rnacentral:rRNA from 1 species